UGAAUGGAAGUGGUAGGUGGACAGACUUGA
rnacentral:piRNA from 1 species